AUUGCAGAAAAGCAAUGCCUUCGUAGAGCUGAAGUGGAAGCAGCACAUGAGAAGAGAGCAGUCAAGGCAAUGGGGACCAGAGGACCUCUGACAUUGCUGUGACAUCACAGCAGAUCAGGUAAUGGCAUCAAGAAGGAAGAGGCCUGUCCUUCUCCUGUCUCUUGCCCUGGUGUGGAAGUAAACAUCAUCACCUGCUAACUGCUGUUGAUAAAAAUAUUUGUUGAAGGGAGGGCUACAGGGGUCAGCUGAAAAGUUGGCACCUCUGCAAGAAAGGUGUGAUUUGCAAAGAUGUCACAGAUUGUGGAAGGGAUUUCAAAAAUAAAGUGAUCCCUGAAGGUGGGUGGGAAUAUAGGAAAGACAGACCCUUGUACUGAUUUAAAUAAAGAUGUGGAUGAGCAGAUGGCACAAGUCAUCUGUCCAAAAAAUCUGUAAGGGUAUGGAUGUGCAUAUUCUUGUUUUCAGAGCAAACAUGUUUGUAUUUUAUCCCUUGGCUGGUCAGACAGUUGAGCUUACUAAGUGCUAAGCACUCUGCAGCUGGGUAAAAGUCAGUCAAGUGUGCAAAGGGCAAGGGCUGAGGCUGGGGCAGGGUUGGCGCCUGUGGGACAAACAGCACAAUCUCUGUAUACAUGUCUACUCAGAAGUAAGUCAACAGAGCUCACUCAUAGGACUGCAGCCUAAAGAAACUUGCAAGGCAUUCAAACAAGCCAACAAGAUAGCUAAAUUAUUGGGGUGGGGUGGGAGCAUAUUGAUUAAAAAAAAAAGGCCCAGUGUGUUUUUUAAGGGCUUCCUUCCUACAGGAUAGAAAACCAGUUGUGGAUUUACAAACGGCUUCAACGUUUUCCCAAACGACAGGAAGACAUUCUUGUGUAGUUGCAACACUCGUGUUCUAACACCAAGGAUUAGUGUUCGGCACUAUUGGAAAUUUAAUCGCUGCACGGUUCUGCUCUCUCUGCUGUUGCCCGUACACACUUCACUUCUAGAUAAUAGAAUUCAAGUGCAACCAAUUUCUGAAAAGCAUAUCACAGGACAAAUAACACAACCAACACUAAAAGGUAAAAAAACAGAAACUCAAACCCAAGAGCAAUAAGUACCGGUACUGUAUGUGAUUUUUCAAAGCAUAAAGAUAAACACUCUGUGGUACAGCUCCAUUUUUUUCAAGAGUGGCAACCUUAGGUACUUAAACUGUUUGUGCACCAAUUUUGCACACAUGAAAAUCCUGCAAAAUAAAAUGUUACAAACAAAUGAAAAGCUAAAACGGGCCAUCAUAUUAUUGAAGCAAAACAUUUGCAGUGCUUCCCCUACAUCUCUAGUGCCAUCUUGUGGCUAUUUUUUUCAUUCGCAGACUAAUAAUUAUUGUCUUGAACAUUAAUUCCAACCCUAGUUUUUGUCUUUCCAGAUUGAUCUGUUGAAAUAUUAUGCUAAUUACUGCACACACCCCUACCUAGUUACUUAAGUUUUCCCCAGAUUUGUCCCUAAUGGAUACUUCAUUCUAGGGAAGGGAUUUGCAACAUCAAUAGGAGAAAUCCAGUUCCAAACGUUGAGCAAUAUUAAAAUGAUCUGCUGGAUGGACAGAGUUAGGAACAGCAGCCCUGUCUUGUUGACAGGGAGGCUGCUCCUCUCACAGAGCACACAGACACCAUGGGAAAUAGGGCCAGCCUAGAUCAACUACAAGCAAUGUUGUGGGGCUCUGAAAUGUGCAUUCUGCAGGGGCAGGUGAGGUUGACUGGAAUCUGCUGAAUUAUGACCUGAAGAGGUCCCAGAAUCAAUCCACACCAACCUAGAGCGGGUGUAAAUUAUUGAUUCAUCCCCUAGUGGAAUCAGCUGGGGAGAUUGCAAAAGAAACCUGCUUGGAGUUAAAAAUUAAGGUAGAUCUCCCAAUAUCACCUACUCCGGCUCCCGCUAGUCCAGGGCUUUAGGAAUGACAGAAGAUCUACCUCUUUGCACCCAGUCCAGCCCCAUUUAGGAUUGCACUGUAAGGUACAACUAAUUAAACUGAACAAAGAGAUGGAGAAAAACAGUGCCACCAGCCACUCCAAAAGGAGAUGCAACUCAUCAUACACCUUUUAACCUGUAUGAUAUAUGUGAUUCCAGAUGCCUAUUUUGUCACAUUCAUACUUUAUACCAUGAUGUGUGUGUUGGGAGGAGCAGGCAUCUGAAGGUGACAGGCUCAUCUCAGCCUUCCCUUUGAACCCCCCCCCCUUUCCAAUGUGCUUUGCAGCACUCAGAGGUUGAAGCAGAUGCACCCUGGUGUAGUGGUUAGAGUGUGGGACUGGAACCUGGGAGACCACAGGGUUCAAAUCCCCACUCAGAGCCAUGAAGGUCGCUGGGUGACCUUGGGCCAGUCACAGUCUCUCACUCAGCCUAGCCUACAUCACAUGGUGGUUGUCUGUCUGGUACAGCCAGGAUUUAUGUUAGGGGGGCAGGCUUUACGGGGGGGGGGGGGACAAACCUCAGUUAGUUAAGUUUUUUUAUUGAUUUACUUGAUGGGGGUGCAGUUGCCUCCCUCCCCCCUGGUUGUGAGGAUAAAAAAUGAAGAGGAGAACCAUGUAUACUACAUUGAGCGCCUUAGAGACAAAGGGAGGAAAUUAAUGCUAUAACGGUGGUGGUGGUGGUGGUGGUGGUGGUGAUAAUAAUAAUAAUAAUUAUAAUUAUAAUAGUCUUAGAGAGCACACUAGUCAGAAUUUCUAGACAAAAACAGAACAGCCAUAAGAACUGUGGGCCUCCAUCUAGCUACAAAUAAGCCCAGUGCCGCCUAGUGUUUAAAUUAAAUAAUGACACUUUUUGCAUAUCUCUCAUCAGAAAUAGUCUCUGGAACUAUUUCAGGUUAAGAGAUGCUGUUUCAGCCAGGAAGCUCAUAGAUUUAGGGCUUUUGGCCCUCCUAGUUUGGAACCUUCUUUAAUUAUAAAACCAUAAUCUUCUAACUCUCACCAUCUUUCUUCUUCUUCUUCUUCUUCUUCUUCUUCGUCGUCGUCAUCGUCUAAUUAUACCCCACCCAUGUGGCUGGGUUUCCCUAACCACUCUGGGCAGCUUACAGCAUAUACACAGAACGAAAUAUAUAUAAAAACAUAACAAAACAUCAGACAUUAAAAACAUCCCGACAAAAGCUGUUUAUCAACCCAACGAGAAAUAGUUCUACAUUAAAUCAUUCUCAGCCUUCUUUAAAGCAGGGGUGGACAACCUGAGGUACUAGACUACAAUGCCUAUCAUCCUUGACCACAUGCCAUGUUGGGUGAGACUGGUAGGAGUUGCAGGUCCAGAACAUCGGGGGGGGGGAAGGAUCCCCAUCCCUGCUAUAAAGCAAAGAAAAAUUACACCUGCAAUAGUUAUAUUCCUAAUAUCAUCAGUCUUAUCAAUGAACCUCUAACGUGUAGAGAUCCACCCCCCACCAGCACCACCCAAAUCAAUGUAGAUUUCAUAUUUCACUGCAUGAUUUGCAGAAAAAUUCUAACAGUUAAAGCUUAUUGGUGUGAAAUUCCCAAGAGGAGGCGAAAUGGGUGGAAGAAGUUGAAUCAUCGCAGGUGUUGUUGACAGGAAAGCCUCAAGUCGCUAGAGUGACGCUUUGUAUUUUCAAGACAAAGAGAAAGUUCCAGAAGGAAGAAAGUCAAAACCUGAGGGAAAUUUCACUUUAAUGAAGGCAGCCUUGCCACAUUGACAAGAGGAAACAACCUGCUUCAGGUGGUAAUGGUGGGAGGAGGCACACUGGAAUAGCUGUAGAUGAAGGCAGGAGGAAUUGAAAUCUGAAUAGUGCAGGGAAACUUUGUGAAGUGUUGGUUCUGGGGGACUGCUUACAGUAGAUUCCACUUCAGGCAGCAAAAUACCUUGGGCUGGCACUGCAUGUUUUAUGACAAAAGAGGGGAGUUGUGCUCAUGUCCUGCUUUCAGGCUUCCCAUAGGCAUCUGAUUUGUGAGAACAGGAUGCUCGACUAGAUGGGCCACUGGUCUGCUCUAGCAGCGUUUCCCCCAAGUUCUCGUGUUUAUCUUAUAUAAUUAUUUAUGUAUUAGUAUGACGUGAGCCAUCUUGGAAGAAUUAACUCUCAGGGUUCAGCAUUCAGUAGAAUGCAAUGUUCUGGUCAAAUUCUCUCAGGGUUCAGCAGGGUUCCCUGAGCCAGUGUGGUGUAGUGGUUAAGAGUGGUAGACUCAUAAUCUGGUGAACCAGGUUCGCGUCUCCGCUCCUCCACAUGCAGCUGCUGGGUGACCUUGGGCUAGUCACACUUCUCUGAAGUCUCUCAGCCUCACUCACCUCACAGAGUGUUUGUUGUGGGGGAGGAAGGGAAAGGAGAAUGUUAGCCGCUUUGAGACUCCUUCGGGUAGUGAUAAAGCGGGAUAUCAAAAUCCAAACUCCAUAUCAGAACACCAGUCUCUCAGUCUGUCCUCCAAAUCAUUCUGAAACUUUGGUGCUCGUGUUACAGAAUAAGGAUGGGACUUAACAUCUCUGAUUUUCUUCUUCUUCUUGUCCAUAUGGGUUAGGAAGGGGAAACACUUUUCAAGAAUUCUCUUGUAUCAAGUAUUUUCAAUACUUCAUCAAACCAUUCCUCCAUGGAAGGUGUCCGUCUGCAUUUCCAGCAAUCAUGUAAUUGAAAUUUUGCUGCUGUUGAUAAAAGACCAGCAGGGUCCCUUUGUAUUAUUGGGAUUUGUUCUCCUUGUAAGACUGUAACUGCAAUCAAAGUAGUCACAUGUACUCUAUUAUACAUGUGAUGUAUGCAGAGUUUAUACUUUAUAUAUUGUACAAUCUGAGCCCAGUGCCUAAUUACUUUUAGGUACGCCCACCAUAAAUUCUAUAGGGAUUUGUUUCAGGUGGGAUAUUUGGGAGGGAAGUAGCUGCUACUCAACUUUUUAAUGGGUCCGUAUAUUUAUAAUAGUGGUUAAUUCUGUAAACAUGUCUACAGUUGAUGACUUUUAAGUUCCAUCUUCUUUUCUAGCCCCCUGUUAUUAGCCAGAGCACCAUAUUUUCAGCCUUUACUAGCCAGUGGCUACCCACCAAGUCUUGAUAAAUAAAUUUGCAUUCUCAACUGCCAAGGUCUUGAGCCACCAUGAAAUCAGUAGAAUGCAGUGUUCUGGUCAAAUUUCAAAGGAGCCAUUCCAUUGUCUGGCAAAAUGUGUCCUACUUUUCACUGCACCAUAAAGCCUCUAAUCUACAUGCCUACUUAUUUCCUCCUCCUCACCAUCCCAUGCUGAUGAGAAUCAUGUCAAACUUGGUCAUGUGCCAGGCUUUUUUCAUCCGGAACUCACCGGAACCCAGUUCCAGCACCUGUCAGGUGGGCGCCAUUGCCAUUACUGUGUAAGAGAAUGAGGGAGGUGUUCAUGGUGAACGCGCCUCUUUUUCUAGAAAAAUGUGAAUAGUUCUGCUAUCCUCUGAAGUAACCACUAUUAUAAAUACAUCUGGCAAUCUUGAAGAGAAAAGAGAGCAUCUUAGAUCUGCAAAAGUAUAAAAAUUAGAAGAUGGAAAGAACACACACAUUCUGGGAUGGAGUCUGAAGCACAAUCAAGCAAAUAACAGAAGCAAAUUUAAAAAAAUGCAUUCGUAAUUUCAUUGAGACAUUACAGGCAGCAGUUGAAAGUAGCUCUUUAAAAAGCUGACGUAUUGGAAAUUUAACAAUGAGAUGGGACGGAUGCUUAACACGUGGGGGAUUCUGAACAUGCUAAAAUUAACUUGUGAAGCCAAGGGCUUAGAAAAAUGUAAAGCUUUGAACAGAAAUGGGAAUGUUUUACUCAGAAUAAGAGAGAUUCUGAGGUAAUUUGGCUGUCUCCUCUGAAGUUCUAAUGGACCCCUGUGCUUAUUGUGUUGCACAUAGCCCUUUAAAGAAAAGGGGCAGGGCAGAAAUGGUCACAUGAUUACAGUGGGUCACAGGCCAUAUAAGGGGUGAGAGCUGGCCUGAGGACUGAGAGAGACAUACCCAGGCUAAAAGGUUGCUGGACCUUGCCUGAGAGCUGAGCCUGGGCUGGCAGAUUGAGUUUUGUGGACAUGGAUCCAGGUUCAAAGCUAGCAUUUUGCUGCCUGGCCUUGGCUAAACUGCUCUCUCUCUCUCACUCCUUUUUCAAAAUGGUAGUAGCAGUCACACAGGCUUGUUGCGAGUGCGACACAGUAAAGUCUGUGAAAUGCUUGGCACAUCAUGAAGGUUAUAGAAAUGAUAAGAUCCACCCACCAUGCUCUUGCAGCCUUAUCUGCAGCACGCAGGGCUGAUACUGCCUGGCAGGGCGGGGGCUGCUCCAGGGUGGAGAAGUCAGAUGCAUGUGCAAUGUCUCAGUCCAAUGGCAGACAUCAGGCGCAGCCUUGGAGGAGUUGUUUGCUUUGCAAGAUUUUGGAGGGACUGCAGAACAACGAAUGAAGGAAACGAUGUGUGGACAGUCAAGUCCACACAUAUAAAUCUGCCACUAACACACUAUCAUUGUAUGCGCAACAACUACCCCCAAAAAUAAAAUAAAAAUGGCAGUCUCUCUGCUUCCCACCCUGUUGCUCCUUUGCUGAGUUUCCUUGCCUUGGCACCUUGGGAAAUUGAGUUUAAAGGUGCCUGCAGUUGUGCUGGAGGUAUUAUUAUUAUUAUUAUUCCAUUUGCAUCCAGUGGGUGUGCUUAUGUGAUAAUUACUAGAAUCCCACCACAUGUUGCAGGAAGAAAAGUUACCCUCUCCUCCUUCCCUGCUGCAGCCUGGAGGAAAAAACCCUCAGGAGGGGGCCCCUCUGUGCUGUAUAUUCUAGGGUUCACGUACAGAGAGAGCUUAAGGCUUUCUGCUGUAUUUUAUCAGCCUAUCUACCCAUGUUCCACUUUGAAUCUCUCACUCACUCACUCACUCACUCACUCACAUGCACACACUUUACAGGGAUUUGGUGGCAAACUCUGUUUUGCAUACAUGAUGUUCUGCUGCCAUGGCUGGUUUUGCCUUCCAUCUUGUCAGAUCAUUUGGCUGCUGUCCUGCAGAUGGGCAGCUGCCAGCUCUGCUAAUAAAGAAAAAGGAAAACCUGGCAACCAUGCAAAAAUAUUACUGGUUUGACUUGAUUUUCUUUUUAACAUAAUGCUUGGCUAAUUGCUUCAUACCUUUUUAAGUGUUCCAUGACUCAGAGAUAUUAAGCGCUUGCUUCGCAAAGCCGAAAAGGGGUCUGCUGUGCAGAGCAUUCAACAUUUUUACUCUAAAUGCAAAAGUCCCUAGGGGGCCAAAUGGCAGCACCAUUCUUCUGUAGGUAUAAUCAAGUGUUUGAAUCCCCCUGUUUCAAUAGCCUGCCUUAUGAGAGUCACUGCCUCUUUUCAUGAGCGUUGCAUUGUUUUGUUCUUUUCCCCAAAAGCAAAUAAUAAAGACGAGAAGCAUAUCUCAAAAGUUUUCAGUGGAAAAAAAUAAUGUCAAAGGAAAGGAAUGUGGAUAAUUUGAAAGGAAAGAAAGAGAUAAAUUAACCAAUAAAAUACAGUAGAAUAUAGUCUCAUUAAUAAUUUUUACAUGUAUUAAUUGUAUCACUUAUGUACUUAUAUACUCUAUUGCAUACUCCAUUGUACUGCUUUACGUUCUAGAAUUGGAAGUCCUACGAAGAGGCCUGCUGGGAUCAGUCCUAAAGCCCCCCUCAUCCAGCGUUCAGCUUCCCACAGUGGUUGGCCAGAUGUUUCACAGAAGGAGGCUGCUAGGAGGGCCUGAAGGCAGGGACCCUGCUAGGUACUUUGUCUCUUUCCUGGGUGCGCACAC